CGCGCAUAGUGUGACGAAACUUUAUACCGUGAAUUCGGACACGCGACUGUUUCACCUCAUAUUAUUUACAUUACUGAAGUGAAAUUUGGCUCGACUGACUCCGUGUUGGAAGCUUUCUUGUGGAUAUCUCAGAUCCGAGAGUUCUUCAUCUCAUGUUCAUCAAGAUGUUUUUUCUUGUAAUGCUUUUGCUUCUCUCUGGUGGUUCGGCUGAGGUUGUGACGGAUUUUAAAAUUAAAUGUGGUAAUUUUUUUAAGAAUGGAAUAUCACCAACAGUACUUCCUGGAACUCGAUACAGACAGAUCUGCCAAACUUUAGGAGAUCAAGUCUAUUAUGCUACACUUUAUGACACCGAGAACAAGAUCCCUGUGUAUUCGGCCUAUGUGUUUAAAGGGAAGAUGGGCUGCAGUAGAUCAGACAAUUGGUACAUUGAACCUCAGCUUGAAAAUCUUGGAGGAUCAAGCAUGGAACAGGAAACGAGUGAUUUAUAUAACCAAGCUUCAAACAAGGACUACAGGUUUUCAAACUUUCACAGAGGACAUUUAGCUCCAGUCUAUCAUGCAAGUUCACAGGAUUGUGCUGAUGCAACAUUCACUCUUACUAAUGCUGCCCCUCAAUACCCAUCAUUUAAUAUAGGUAAAUGGAAGUCUUUAGAAUACAACAUGGCAAAGAUGGGGACUGAACAUUGUGAUAAAACUGCUCACAUUGUAACAGGGGUUGUACCAGGUGAUAAAAAAAUGAACAACAGAGUGAAUGUGCCUAGUUAUUUUUGGACUGCAUACUGUUGCUUUAGCACAAAAGCCAAAAGACUUAUAUCAGGAGGAGCUAUUGGACUCAACUCUCAGGACAACCUAGAAACUUCACAAAUUUCUGUAAGAGUCUUAGAAAAAGUGUUGGCAAUACUAUAUCAAGUUAAAACCUUCAUUUUGUUUGAUAAUAAUUGUGGAGAUGCUCAAUUCUUAGAAAUAAAACAAUAAUAAGGAUAAAGGAGUACUUUUGUAUGUAAUACAAUGGCAUGUCUUUUACAGAGAACAGACGUUUUCAUUAGCUAUUUUGUCUUACUGUCCUACAUUUGUAUGCUACACAUAACCUUCUUUUGUAAUCUACAAUUUAGCCUUAAACAAGCCACUACAAGUGAGUGAAAAUGUUUACUGAAAAAUUAGGUCAUCUUGUUGUAGCCUAAAUAGCCUCAUUGCUUAAGGAUCUAGCUGACAAAACAAGUUUUAAGAAAUGUGGUUAUAAUUCUUGCAGUAACA